GCGUCGUCUUUCAGAGUUUUGAUCCUGGCUCAGAGUGAACGCUGGCGGUAGGCCUAACACAUGCAAGUCGAACGGCAGCACAGUAAGAGCUUGCUCUUAUGGGUGGCGAGUGGCGGACGGGUGAGGAAUACAUCGGAAUCUACCUUUUCGUGGGGGAUAACGUAGGGAAACUUACGCUAAUACCGCAUACGACCUUCGGGUGAAAGCAGGGGACCUUCGGGCCUUGCGCGGAUAGAUGAGCCGAUGUCCCAUUAGUUAGUUGGUGAGGUAAAGGCUCACCAAGACAGCGAUGGGUAGCCGGCCUGAGAGGGUGAACGGCCACACUGGAACUGAGACACGGUCCAG
rnacentral:rRNA from 1 species